GAUUAACGCUGGCGGCAUGCCUAAGACAUGCAAGUCGAACGGGAAGCCCCAAUGAAAAUGGAAUGAAGUUGAAGAGCUUGCUCUGAUAUGGAAUGAAGUUGGAUUUGGAUUCUGCUUCCAGUGGCGAACGGGUGAGUAACACGUGGGUUAUCUGCCUUCAAGCUGGGGAUAACGGUUAGAAAUGAUCGCUAAUACCGAAUGUGCUAGUAAUAGUAAAGGCGCUCUUAAGCGUCACUUGAAGAUGAGCCUGCGGCGUAUUAGCUAGUUGGUGGGGUAAUGGCCUACCAAGGCGACGAUGCGUAACCGGACUGAGAGGUUGAACGGUCACACUGGGACUGAGACACGGCCCAGACUCCUACGGGAGACAGCG
rnacentral:rRNA from 1 species